rnacentral:lncRNA from 1 species
AGUGGGCGUGCAGGAGAAGCUGUAGGUCAGGAGGUAGAGUUGGCAGUGGGCGUGCAGGAGAAGCUGUAGGUCGGAGAGGUAGAGUUGGCAGUGGGCGUGCAGGAGAAGCUGUAGGUCGGAGAGGUAGAGGUGGCAGUGGGCGUGCAGGAGAAGCUGUAGGUCGGAGAGGUAGAGGUGGCAGUGGGCGUGCAGGAGAAGCUGUAGGUCGGGGGGUAGAGGUGGCAGUGGGCGUGCAGGAGAAGCUGUAGGUCAGAGUGGAGAGGU